rnacentral:rRNA from 1 species
UACAGAGGGUGCGAGCGUUGUUCGGAAUUACUGGGCGUAAAGCGCGCGUAGGUGGUGUGUUAAGUCUGCCGGUCAAAUGCCGAGGCUCAACCUCGUUGCACGCCGGGGAUACUGGCACGCUAGAGACAAGUAGAGGCAAGCGGAAUUCCGGGUGUAGCGGUGGAAUGCGUAGAGAUCCGGAAGAACACCGGAGGCGAAGGCGGCUUGCUGGGCUUGGUCUGACGCUGAGGCGCGAAAAGCGUGGGGAGCGAACAGG